rnacentral:tRNA from 1 species
AACAUCCUAAGGCCAAAACCCUCUUAAUAUCUUCAAUAUUACACUUUAAUGCUAAGCUAUUAAGAUA